GCACCGGGUGUUACCUUUUUAUCUGCUCGUUCUAGCUUCCUGGAUAAAAAACGCGGGAACGGGAAGUGGUAAUGAGUGGGGCUAUGCACCUGGAAUUGGACCCUCAACAUGGGUUAAAGACUACCCUCAAUGUGGAGGUACCAGCCAGUCCCCCAUCUCUGUGGAUACAUCUAAAGUUGUCCUUGACACAACUCUGACGGCCUUCAACUUCACAGGUUAUGACAAAGUGAACAAAGUCAAGAUGAGCAUGAAAAACAAUGGGC